AAUAAAUUAAAUGCUUAAACCAGCACUGUGUAAGCAUUUUUGUCUUGGAUCAAAAAUGUUUGCACUAGCUAUUUAAACAUUCAAUUUAUU